UGGACAGAAAGAAGUAGCAGAUUUUAAACUAUAACAAAGCUUUAUUUAAGCUAUAACAAGACUGAUUUGCACUUUGAACUUACAUGACCUUAGAUUUGCUGAUUUACUCAAGUCAUUUGAUUCCUGAUUUCUUUGAGAGUAUGAAAGUCUAGAUCUGAAUAAAAUUAAGAAGAAAGAGAUUCCAUAAUCACAGCAGAUGAAGAAUCACUGGUAAAACAAUCAAGAUUUUUGGCUUACCCUCCAAAGAAAAGGCAGAUACUGAAGAGGCUCAUAGCUAUUAGACAUCAUCAAAAGAACACUGACA